AAUGCAGAGAAUAAUUUCGCCACACCUAGUGUGUGUGUGUGUGACAAUCAUUGGCACUUUAACUGAACUUUUAAUGAUGUUAUUCAUAUUAUUCAGAUUGAAAAGCUUAAGGGGCCGCAUGUGGCCCCCGGACGUUCAUUUGCCCAGGUCUGUGCUAAGGUGAUCUCUAGAAGUGGUCCACACUCCAUGUCAGUAGGUGGCGGUAAUGCACACCAGAAGGUUGCUUGCCAACCUGCUAUAAAAACAAAAGAAGAAGAAGAAGAUCCACACUUCCGGGUGGUGAUGACGUCGCGUCGUGACGUCAUAUUUCAAAAUGGCAGAGCCCGCGGAAAGACCCCCUGGAGUCGACUCCAUUUCCCAAGAAAAGAUGUCAACAGCGCGACUUGUAACAAUUAUAAGGCCGAGGAGGGUUAUUUGAACACACACCAUUCAAUUAUUAUAAAUGAAAGUCACGUUUUUUAACCGCUCCGGUCUCGUCCCAGCGGAAGUGACGCUAGCACGUCAUCAGAAUACAACAGAUCAACACGACGAGAGAGGCAUUCUGCCGCUAGACAAAGGUCACCGAGCAGCGACGAAGUUUGCAUUUUCGGUAGAGGUCCAGGGAGCCACGAGGGCGGUGCUAAAGAGACGCGGGUUGCUGACCCCCGGCCUACACCCUAGACUGGCCGCCAGUUCAUCGCAGGACACAUGAAAAAGCCUUCGCCCUCAAAUCAGAGAAAAAUGGCAACAGCAGAGGAUGGAUGUCCCAUAACAAGAAGGUGGAGAAAAAGAAGAAGCUUAUCGACUACGGUGUCGGCACGGACUACAAAGGCGGACCUGCACAAAUUUUCAGGUACCAGAAG